rnacentral:tRNA from 1 species
GGUAGGGUGGCCGAGAGUAUAGGCGGCGGGUUGUAGCCCUGAAGACAGAGGUUUAAGUCCUCUCCUUACCA